CAAAGAUGGCCGCCGCUCAUAAUUAUGAUUUCAGCAAUAUGGAUAUCGUGUCCGAGGUUCUCGAGGGUGCAGAGAACGAUUGUGUGAUCAUAUUUGAAAUCCAAGAUGGCCGCCGCACAAAAUUAUGAUUUCAGCAAUAUGGAUAUCGUGUCCGAGGUUCUCGAGGGUGCAGAGAACGAUUGUGUGAUCAUAUUUGAAAUCCAAGAUGGCCGCCGCUCAUAAUUAUGAUUUCAGCAAUAUGGAUAUCGUGUCCGAGGUUCUCGAGGGUGCAGAGAACGAUUCUGUG